rnacentral:rRNA from 1 species
AUUGAACGCUGGCGGCAGGCCUAACACAUGCAAGUCGAACGGUAGCACAGAGAGCUUGCUCUUGGGUGACGAGUGGCGGACGGGUGAGUAAUGUCUGGGAAACUGCCCGAUGGAGGGGGAUAACUACUGGAAACGGUAGCUAAUACCGCAUAACGUCUUCGGACCAAAGUGGGGGACCUUCGGGCCUCACACCAUCGGAUGUGCCCAGAUGGGAUUAGCUAGUAGGUGGGGUAAUGGCUCACCUAGGCGACGAUCCCUAGCUGGUCUGAGAGGAUGACCAGCAACACUGGAACUGCGACACGGUCCAGACUCCUACGGGAGGCAGCAGUGGGGAAUAUUGCACAAUGGGCGCAAGCCUGAUGCAGCCAUGCCGCGUGUAUGAAGAAGGCCUUCGGGUUGUAAAGUACUUUCAGCGGGGAGGAAGGCGAUGGAGUUAAUAGCUUCAUCGAUUGACGUUACCCGCAGAAGAAGCACCGGCUAACUCCGUGCCAGCAGCCGCCGUAA